rnacentral:rRNA from 1 species
UACGUAGGGUGCAAGCGUUAAUCGGAAUUACUGGGCGUAAAGCGUGCGCAGGCGGUUAUGUAAGUCAGAUGUGAAAUCCCCGGGCUCAACCUGGGAAUGGCAUUUGAGACUGCAUGGCUAGAGUGUGUCAGAGGGGGGUAGAAUUCCACGUGUAGCAGUGAAAUGCGUAGAUAUGUGGAGGAAUACCGAUGGCGAAGGCAGCCCCCUGGGAUAACACUGACGCUCAAGCACGAAAGCGUGGGGAGCAAACAGGG